rnacentral:snoRNA from 13 species
UGGCUCAAUUUCCUGGGGGGUGAGCUCAGCCUCCCCCACCCUCCCUCGCCUGAGCCUAAAGUAGAGGAGCCAGGCAGGCACCACCCAGAGAGACCUUUAAGUAAGGGGCCUCCCUUGGCUGCCUUGACCUCACAUCA